UGCGAGAGAAACAGGGGAUGGGCUCAGGGCCGGAAGUUGUGGUGGAGGAAGCUCCGCCCACCGCUUGCGCCGCCAACGGUAGUUUCGGUGUCAGGGGAGCUUGACUGGUCUGUUCAGGUGGUCGGCUCUGGAGUGAGGCGGCCGGGGAGCCGCUGGUGGCUGUUAUGGAUGCGUUCCAUUCCCCCAGGCGAGCGUUCCUCAGGAGUGCCUCAGCUGAAGCUUUCAGACCGAAGACGCUGCAACUUCCCUUUCGGUUUUGGCCUCUCCUUUGAUCUCGAAGGCUGACUUCACCCGUUGCAAUAUAGGGCAUAGUUUUAGCUUACUGUGUGGUGGCUUAGUACAGGGGUCUCCAACCUUGGCAACUUUAAGCCUGGCGGACUUCAACUCCCAGAAUUCCCCAGCUAGCAAAAAAUGCGAGUUAUGAUUUUCACACUUAUGGCCAUUGCCGCAUCCUCAUGGUCACGUGAUCAGAAUUCGGAAGCUUGGCAACUGGUUCAUAUUUAUGACCCUUGCAGUGUCCCGGGAGUUAUGUGAUCACCUUUUGCAACCUUGUGACAAGCAAGAUCAAUGGGUAGCAUAACACUGUUUACACCUAAAGGAAUAAUAUGGUGAGUACAUAUAUAUAUCUAGCCAACAAUGCCAGAAAGAACCAGAAUACAUUCAUUCCUAAAUUAUGGGCCUGGUGGCUCAGCAGACUGAUAGCAUUGCGAUUAACACCAGCUGUCUGCAAUUACUGUAAGUUCGAAUCUCACCAGAGUCAAGGUUGACUCAGCCUUCCAUCCUUUCUAAGGUAGGUAAAUUGAGGACCCAGUUUGUGGGGGCAAUAAGCUGACUUUGUAUAAAUAUACAAAAGUAUGAAGGCUAUUGCUUAACACAUUGUAAGCCGCCCUGAGUCUCCGGAGAAGGGCGGCAUAUAAAUCAAAUUUUUUAAAAAAAAAUUAAAAAAUUUAAUAUAAAAAUUGAAAAAUUAUAUUUUAAAAUUAAACUCUAUUUGUAAAUUGAAGACUACUUACUUCUCUGGUAGUACAACUGAAACUUCAUAAUCUGUUGGAGUGAGGCAUCGAACCUCAGAAUAAACACGAUCUCUAAAGCCAGGGAACAGAGAAUUCCCACCUGUUAAAACAAUAUUCUUGAAGAAAUGAGGCUGCAUUUCUGUGGAAAAAUCAGAUUAAUAUAAUUUAAUAUUCUAAAUUAAUUUGUUUGGUUUUAUGGCAAAAGAAAAAGCAAUUGCCAGUUUAAAUUUGCCUCAGAGAUAGAAAUAAUUCAGAUUUGUCUUUUUAAAAGUCUUCAAAAAAGUCUUCAAAAAAAGUCUUCAAAAAAAAGAACACAAGUCAUGGGUCAGGACGUGGAUUCACCUCCCUGUAUUAAUCUCUGCACAAGAACUGGAGGUCGUCCAUGACUUUGUGUACCUCAGCUCAACUAUCUCUGACACUCUCUCUUUAGAUACUGAGCUGAAUAAACGUAUUGGUAAAGCGGCCACCACAUUUUCCAGAUUUACAAAGAGAGUAUGGCUUAAUAAGAAGCUGAUGGAACAUACAAAGAUCCAGGUCUAUAGAGCCUGUGUUCUAAGCACACUCUGAUACUGCAGUGAGUCUUGGACCCUCUACGCACGGCAGGAGAGAAAGUUGAACACCUUUCAUAUGCGCUGUCUCCAAUGAAUUCUUGGCACCACCUGGCAGGACAAAGUUCCAAACAGCGCAGUCUUGGAACGUGCUGGAAUUUCUAGCAUGUAUACACUAUUGAAACAGCGACGUCUAUGCUGGCUGGGGCAUGUGAGAAUAGAUGGUCGGAUUCCGAAAGAUCUCCUGUAUGGAGAAUUAGUGCAGGGAAAGCGCCUCAGAGGGAGACCACAGCUGCAAUAUAAGGAUAUCUGCAAGAGGGACCUAAAGGCCCUGGGAAUGGACAUUAACAACUGGGAAACCUUGACCUCCGAUCGUUCAGCUUGGAGGCUAAAGACGCAGCAUGGCCUUCUCCAAUUCGAAGAGACACUUGUUCGGCAGUCCCGGAACCAGCGAAAUCUGGGGGCUGGGCAGGGGACAGAAUGUAUCUGCCCUCAGUGUGGAAGGGAUUGCCACUCUCGAAUUGGCCUUUUUAGUCACACUAGAUGCUGUUUUAGGACCUCUUUCCAGAGCAUGAUACCAUACUCUUGAGACUGAAGGACGCCAAUGUCUUUUUAAAAAAUAGUAAUAACUGGGAUUAUUGCUGAUAUUAUGGAAUUCUGUAAGUGUAACAGGAACAGAUAUGGUCCUCCUGCUAAAAGGUCUUAACCUGAGCAUAACUAAUCCAGACGCCUGUCAUUCCCUUAAUAGCAGCCACCUGAUAGAAUUAAGACUGUGUUGUUAACCUGGAAUAAAUACAUGAAGGCACUCCUAC